AUGGAGGCCGAGGCAGGCGGCCUGGAGGAGCUGACCGACGAGAAGAUGGCAACACUGGGCAAGGAAGAGCGGCGGGAGGAGGCGAUGCGCCUUGCGGCACUGGUGCAGUGCGACCGCCUCAUGGAGGAGGUGAAUUGGCAGCUGCAGGGCCACCUGGACGAGAUCUGUCAGCUCAGGCAGCUCAAUCGGCGCCUGCUGGCAGAGAACCGUGAGCUGCACGACCUCUGCCGCUUUGUGGACUGAAGCGCCAGCGCGGGCGGCACACGGCUCACCAGUAGAAGCUCUUCAGGACCCAAGCAUCCCAGACCGUGUGGGAGGACCUGGGCAGUGUAGCAGAAUACCACUUUUUAAACGAUUUUUUUUUUAAUGGCAGGAAUGGCCUUUAUUGGCUGCAGCGGUAAGUGGAAGAGGGGAUACUGCGUCUACAGAUUUGCUCACGAUCCAAAAGCUUAAAUGAUUUUUUAAAAUUAUUUAUUUAUUUUUAUAUUUCUUGAAGUUAGUUUUAACUGAUGUGUAUCUGUAUGUGUAUUUGUGUGUAGUUUGUCAUGAUUAUGCAACAGAGGCUGAAAAGUUGAAAGAGACAGUUUUCAGGAACAACAAGCAACUAUUCCCACUUUCCAAGUUAUUUUGAGGCCGUGGUGGCUCACACCUAUAAUCUGAGUACUUUGGGAGGCUGAAGCCGACGGAUCACUUGAGCCCAGGAGUCUGAGACCAGCCUGGGCAAUAUAGCAAGGCUCCAUCUCUAUAAAAAAGUAAAAAAAUUAGCUGGUUGUGGUGGCUUAGUCCUAUAGUCCCAGCUACUUGGGAGGCUAAAGUGGGAGGAUCCCCUAAGCCCAGAGAGGUUGAGGUUGAGCUGUGAUCACACCACUGUACUUCAGCAUGGGAGACAGAGUGAGAACCUGUCUCAGAAUAAAUAAAUAAAUAAAACCACCAGCACCACGGACAACAACAAAAAGUUAUUUUGCACUUUUUUUCAGCACAGGACUCCUGAGGGUAUCUUUGCAUUUAAUAUUGCAUAGGGGUGCCAGUGGGAAGUAAUGUGUAUGCUUGACCUCAUAAAACUGAAAUUCAACGUCCCUUUAUGUGAGAAAAAUAUCUCAAAAUAAUAACCAUUUAUGAUAAACCCACAGCUAAUAUCAUACUGAAUGGGCAAAAGCAGGAAGCAUUCCCCUUGAAAACUGGUACAAAACAAGGGUGCCCCAUCUGACUACUCUUAUUCAACAUUGUAUUGGAAGUUUAGGCCAGGGCAAUCAGGCAAGAGAAAGAAAUAAAGGAUAUUCGAAUAGCAAGAGAGGAAGUAAAACUGUCUGUUUGCAGAAAGCCCCAUUGUUUCCAAAAAGCUCCUUAAGCUGAUAAGCAACUUGCAGCAAAGUCUCCGGAUACAAAAUCAGUGUGCAAAAAUCACAAGCAUUCCUGUAACCAGCAAUAGACGAACAGAGAGCCAAAUCAUGAAUGAACUUCCAUUCACAUUUGCUACAAAGAAAAUAAAAUACCUAGGAUCACAGCUAGCAAGAGAAGUGAAGGACCUCUUCAAGGAGAGCUACAAACUACUGCUCAAGGAAAUAAGAAAGGACACAAACAAAUGAAAAAACAGUCCAUGCUCGUGGAUAGGAAGAAUCAAUAUUGUGAAAAUGGCCAUACUACCCAAAGUAAUUUAUGGAUUCAAUACUAUUCCCAUUAAACUACCAUUGACAUUCUUCACAGAAUUAGAAAAAUGCUACUUUAAAAUUCAAAUUGAACCAAAAAGCCCAUAUAACCAAGACAAUCCAAGACAAUAAUAAACAAAAAGAACAAAGCUGAAAGAAUCACACUACCCAACUUCAAACUAUACUGCAAGGCUACAGUAACCAAAACAGCAAUGAACUUGAACGAAAACAGACAUAUAGACCAAUGGAACAGAAUAGAGACCACAGAAAGAAGACCACACAUCUAUAGCUAUCUGAUCUUCUACAAAGCUGCCAAAAACAAGCAGUGGGGAAAACAUUCCCUAUUUAAUAAAUGGUUCUGGGAAAACUGGCUAGCCAUAUGCAGAAAACUGAAACUGGACUCCUUCCUUACACCUUAUACAAAAAUUAACUCAAGAUUAAAGACUUAAUGUAAGACCUAAAGCUAUAAAAACCCUAGAAGAAAAUCUAGUUAAUACCAUUCAAGACAUAGACAAGGGCAAAGAUUUCAUGACAAAAACAUCAAAAGCAAUUGCAACAAAACCAAAAAUUACAAAUGGGAUCUAAUUAAAGAGCUUCUGCACAGCAAAAGAAGCUAUCAUCAGAGUGAACAGAAAACCUACAGAAUGCAAGAAAAUUUCUGCAAUCUAUCCAUCUGAUAAAGGUCUAGUAUCCAGAAACUACAAGGAACUUAAAUAGACAUUAAAAAAAAAACAUCAAAAAGUGGGCAAAGGAGAUGAACAGACACUUCUCAAAAGAAGCCAUUUAUGUGGCCAACAAACAUGAAAAAAAAGCUCAACAUCACUGAUAAUUAGAGAAAUGCAAAUCAAAAUUACAAUGAGAUACCAUCUCAUGCUGGUCAGAAUGGUGAUUAUUAAAAAGUCAAAAAAAACAGGUGCUGGGGAGGAUGUGGAGAAAUAGGAACACUUUUACCUUGGUGGUGGGAAUGUAAAUUAGUUUAACUAUUGUUGAAGACAGUGUGGCCAUUCUUCAAAGAUCUAGAACUAAAAAUACCAUUUGUCCCAGCAAUCCCAUUACUGGGUAUAUACCCAAAGGAAUAUAAACUAUUUUAUUAUAAAGAUACAUGCACAUGUAUGUUCACUGCAGCACUCCUCACAAUGGCAAAUGCCCAUCAAUGAUAGACUGGAUAAAGAAAAUGUUGUACCUAUGCACCAUGGAAUAAUAUGCAGCCAUAAAAAGGAAUGGGAUCAGGUCUAGCAUGGUGGCUUAUGCCUGUAAUCCCAGCACUUUGGGAGGCCGAGGCAGGCGGAUCAUCUGAGGUUGGGAGUUUGAGACCAGCCUGACCAGCAUGGCAAAAGCCUGUCUCUACUAAAAAUCCAAAAUUAGCUGGGUGUGGUGGCGCAUGCCUGUAAUCCCAGCUACUCAGGAGGCUGAGGCAGGAGAAAUUGCUUAAACGAAGAGGAGGCAGAGGUUGCUGUGAGCUGAGAUCAUGCCAUUGUACUCUAGCCUGGACAAGAGUGAAACUCUGUCAAAAGACAAAAAAAGAAAUUAGGUUAUGUCCGUUGCAGGGACAUGGAUGAAGCUGGAAGCCAUUAUCCUCUGUAAACUAAUACAGGAACAGAAAACCAACACUACAUGUUCUCAUUUGUAAGCAGAAGCUAAACAAUAAGAACACAUGGUCACAAGGAUGAGAUCAACACACACUGGGGCCUUUUGUAGGGGUGGUGGGAGGGAGAGCAUCAGGAUAAACAGCUAAUGCAUGCAGGGUUUAAUACCUAAGCGAUGGGCUGAUAGGUGCAGCAAACCACCAUGGCACAUGUUUACCUAUGUAACAAACCUGCACGUCCUGCACUUGUAUCCAGAGCUUAAAAUUAAAAUAAAACAAAAUAAGUUAAAUCUUAGAUAAUAAGAAAAAAAAGAUUCUUCAGUGCGUACACAAUAAAAUUGCAGUUCAAACAUUCAGAGUCUUUAACUGUCUAGUCGGUAUCUUCAUUUUCAGCCUCCCCACUCCAAACACUGUAAGCGCAGCCAAAUUGAACAGCUCACAGCUCCAACCUCUGGAUCUUUGGUCUUGGAGAUUGUAUAUUUAUGGUCCAUCUGGAAUCCCGCCAUAUCACCCUACCCCACAUCUUCAUAUCUCUAAAAUAUAACCGUACUUCAAGGCCAGCUCAAAUACUAUCUCCUUCUGUCCUCCAUGAAGUCAGUUAUCUCUUCCAUUGGAAUUAUCACCCCCUCUCCCGAACAGUACUAUUUCAUGUGAAUCUCCUCCAAGGCUUCUUUUGAUUUUAUAUCUCACGCUGCAAUUCUUGGAGAGUAUGUUGUUUGAGUGCAGAAUUCUCAACAGUUUUAUCUUUAUAUCUCUCCUAGGUGUUUUACCUGACUCAGAGCCUGGCACACAAAUAUAUAUUGAAUGAAUUAGUGAUGCAAUGAAAAGAGAAAUGAUGCGUCUCUUAAAUUUAACUUUUAUAAAAUAUUUUGAUAUAUUCAUGACCUUACUUUAGCAAGCAAUGUACUGAACAUAAUUUACACUUGUUGAUAUAGUUUUUAUAUUGUGAAGUGUAAGUAGUUUGUGGCAUGGGAUUGUGACAUAUCCUAGGUUUCCUUGUCUUUUUAUUUUUUAUUGAAAUGUAAUUUAUAUGCCAUAAAAUUUGCCCUUUUAAAGUAUGUGAUGCAGUGGAUUUUAGUAUAUUCACAGAAUUGUGCAAUCAUCACCACUGUCUAAUUCCAGAACAUUUCCAUCUACCUAAAAAGAAACUCCAUACCAAUUAGCUGCCACUCUAAUCCUCCUCUUCCCCCAGUCUCCAGAAACAAGUAAUUCAUUUUCUGUCUCUAUGAUUUGUCUCUUCUGGAUAUUUUAUAAAAAUAAACAUAUGGACUUUUG